UACGUAGGGGGCGAGCGUUGUCCGGAUUUAUUGGGCGUAAAGAGCUCGUAGGCGGUCAACUAAGUCGGAUGUGAAAUCCCCAGGCUUAACCUGGGAACUGCAUCCGAUACUGGAUGGCUUGAAUCCGGGAGAGGGAUGCGGAAUUCCAGGUGUAGCGGUGAAAUGCGUAGAUAUCUGGAGGAACACCGGUGGCGAAGGCGGCAUCCUGGACCGGCAUUGACGCUGAGGAGCGAAAGCCAGGGGAGCAAACGGG
rnacentral:rRNA from 1 species